AGUAACUAGAGAAAUGUCAUUUGGAAAAAUGAUGAGAAAGCUACCCCGGAUUUCCUCAUCUCGGCCCCAGACUCCUGCCCACUCUGCCCCCUCAUGCUCUCGUUUUCCAACCCACUUUCCUCUCCUAUAUAACUCUUGUGACUUUCAGACUGUUCGCCAGCGCCAUCUACCUCUCUCAGCUUACUGCCCUACCACUUUACCUCCUCUGACUAGAACCAUCCCUUCUUGCCACCCUACCUCACAGGUUUCACUGUCCAAAUCUUCCACUGUUCGUUCCAAACCAUCCACUCGCCGCUCUAGCUCUAGUAAUCUUGCUCCUCUUUCCUUUUACUCCUUUGUCUUUGCCCCUACUCCCCCUUCCAGCCCUUCUUCCUAGAUAUUUGAAGUCUGGUCCUCACCAACAUUCCAGCCAAACCCAUCCAGACUUCUGUGAUCCAUAAAUCUUAUCUUGGAGAGAUGAUUUCCUUGGGAGUGGGACAGUUCUGAUGCCAUCCAGAAUUACCAAGACUGUGGAUCUCCAGGAGACUGACCUGGUGAGCACUGGGAAUUCAAGAGAAUGCUGACCAGCAUUCAGGUUGGAAGUUGAUUUCCCUGUUAGCUGAGUCUCUGCAUCUGCUCCUAAUGGAGAGUCUCAGAGUUUAGAAGCACACUGAUGGCCUGGAAUGUCCCCAG